UAUAAUUUUUUAUUCUUCGUCUUAUUUAAAAAUUUUUUGCGAUUGAUAUUUUUGUUUUUAUUAGAUGAUAAAUCAUGAAUAAUACUUUAUGCUUGAUUUUCUUUAAUUUUUUAAAUUUUUUUUAAAUAAGACGAAUGAUCAAACGUUGGACACGGAAAC
rnacentral:pre_miRNA from 1 species